rnacentral:rRNA from 1 species
AUGCAGCAUCUUACACUUGCAGCAUCUAUGUCUGCUGCUGUUCUCUUUGCAUGCAUCCUGUAUGCUAAAAGUGCCGAUUUGAACUCCGACAAGCAGGCUCUUCUUGCAUUUCCUGCAUCCCUGCCCCAUGGAAGGAAGCUUAACUGGAGCUCCACGACACCUGUCUGCACUUCUUGGCUGGGAGUGAAAUGCACACCGGACAAUAGCCGUGUACACACACUAUGCCUACCUGCAUUAGGACUCUUUGGCCCAAUACCCUUAGAUACGCUUGGCAAGCUUGAUGCCCAGGAGGUGUUGAGCCUCCGGUCUAAUCGCCUUACUGUUGAGCUCCCUCCUGAUGUAGGAUCUAUUCCUUCUCUUCAUUCCCUCUAUCUGCAGCAUAAUAAUCUGUGUGGAAUCAUACCAACUACACUUUCAUCCAGCUUGACAUUCCUAGACCUGUGCUACAACACUUUCGAUGGGGAAAUCCCAUUGAGCGUGCAAAAUCUCACUGGACUUACUGCAAUCCUUCUCCAGAACAACUCUCUUUCUGGACCCAUCCCUGACCUACGUCUCGCCAAAUUGAGGCAUUUGAAUGUGAGCAACAACAACCUCAGUGGUCCAAUAUCACCUUCCUUUGCAGAAAUUCCCAGCCAGUUCCUUCUUAGGGAACACUUUUCUGUGUGGGUCACCAUUGGAACCCUGUCCUGGAACUGCGCCUUCUCCUUCACCGACACAACCACCAUCAGUGCCCAGCAAACGCAAGAAGAGUUUCUGGAAAAGGAUCAGCACAUGUGUUCUAAUUGCAAUUGCUGCUGCAGGAGGGGUAUUGUUGCUUCUCUUGGUUCUUGUACUCUUGAUAUGUAUUUUCAAGAGAAAGAAGCACACGGGACCACCCUCUGU